rnacentral:rRNA from 1 species
AGUGAACGCUGGCGGUAGGCCUAACACAUGCAAGUCGAACGGCAGCACAGUAAGGGCUUGCUCUUACGGGUGGCGAGUGGCGGACGGGUGAGGAAUACAUCGGAAUCUACUUUUUCGUGGGGGAUAACGUAGGGAAACUUACGCUAAUACCGCAUACGACCUACGGGUGAAAGCAGGGGAUCUUCGGACCUUGCGCGAUUGAAUGAGCCGAUGUCGGAUUAGCUAGUUGGCGGGGUAAAGGCCCACCAAGGCGACGAUCCGUAGCUGGUCUGAGAGGAUGAUCAGCCACACUGGAACCGAGACACGGUCCAGACUCCUACGGGAGGCAGCAGUGGGGAAUAUUGGACAAUGGGCGCAAGCCUGAUCCAGCCAUACCGCGUGGGUGAAGAAGGCCUUCGGGUUGUAAAGCCCUUUUGUUGGGAAAGAAAAGCAGCAGGUUAAUACCCCGCUGUUCUGACGGUACCCAAAGAAUAAGCACCGGCUAACUUCGUG